AUAAGAAAAAUAAAUAUUUUAACUUUUGAAUAUAAAGAGAAACGACUAUCUUUGAGAAAUUAAUUAAGUUAAACCAAAGACCAAAUAAAUUGCCAGUUGAUACAAUAAUAGAUAAGAUGUGAGGAAAGAAAUAUCAAAUUUGGCCCAAAUUUCCGAAUCUUGAACCUGUCCUAAGUCUAAAGUUGCCAAAAUAAUGGGUUCUGACCCAUUUUUCCUGCCAUAUGGACCUGUUGUAUAUUAUUUAAGGCUUUAGGCCCAUUUCGCCUUUAAAACUCUGUAUACCCUGAGCGUAUACCCGGAUCGUAUUUCAUAUCCAUUUUCCUGUAUUAUCCCUGUAUCCACUUUGAUUUGUAUUUUUUCAUCGAAUAUGUAUUCUUGCAUUUUUUUUAGACCUGUUCAUCAGUUUCCAAUGACCCAAAUGAAAGAGAGGAUGACUCGAUGGAAGAGUAGAGCCCAUGGCUCAAUUUGGGGUGCAAGAGAGGGGCAAAGAAGUCCACAAUGGACUCGAGAAUUUCUACAUGCAAAACAAAAUAAGGAAAGGAAUUAAUAUUUUAUCCAACUCGAUAUAAAUACAACAAAAAUAAAAAAUAUAAUCCUAUUAAAAAUAAUUCGUACAGAGACAUAUUGAGUGUUAAUAACUUUCAAGAAGUAACUAAAAGAAUACACUGAUCAUUGGGAACCAAAAUUAAUAUAAUAGCUGGCAACAUAGGCAUAUGACCCACAAAAUGAAUGAAAACAAAAAUAAAGGAAAGAAUAUUCAUCACCGUUUCAAAACAACCAAAGAGAGACAAGUAUGCUAUAUUAACCUCACUCAAUUAUAAUAAUCAAACUAGGUGUUAGACACCCAAUUUUGGACCUCCACAAUAUAAAUUAAUCAUUGAGCUUCUUCAAUUUCAAGCGAUUUAAAAUAAUUAGUUUUAGAAAUUUUUCAAUUUUUUUUAAUAAUAUAGUUCGCAAGUUAUUUUAAAUAGUCUUGUCACUUUUUAUAAUUUUUUAGAUAAUAUAUAUGUUUCACAUAAUUAUGUAUAUAAUUAGUAUAUUUUAUGAAUAUUCGAAAAUCGUCUCAAAAAGCUUUUGUUUUAAUUAAAUAUUUGGUUAAUUAGAUUAGUUAUAUAAUAGUUUAUAUCUUAAAUUAUUUAGUUCAUAUUUGAGUUAAUUGUUUUAUUUCGUUAAGAUUAAGGAGCUCAUUAUUUAAUUAUAUUAAAUUCGUCCUAUUUAAUUAUUAGUCGAACUUACUAAUUUAAUCAAUUCGGCUAAGUUUAUAAUUUUGAUUGGCUAUAAGUGAAAUUCAGUUGGCCAAGUCUUAAAUUCAAGUCUAGCCAUUUCAUUCCACUUUUUAAACACUCUUUCAGGCCAAUUUUGGGCUUUUUACAGCCCUUUCCAGAAGCCCAAAUCCAUACCAAAGAUUACCCGACCCAAACCCAUUCCAAUACAACAACAAUCAGCGGAUGCGACCCCUGCAUCUUCUUCUUCUUUCACGAGACCAUCUCGUCUUCCUCGGCGAAUAUCGCGGAAAACUCAUCCAACUACUCUGCAAAAUCCAUAACCCUAGCAUCCUAAUCGAUCAUUUCGUCAUCUCCUUUUCCCCCUUUUCACGGAAUUCAGCCUUUUUCCAUUCCCUUUAUUGUGGCUUCGAAAAUAGCAGAAUGAAUUCAAUUUUUUGUUUGAAUUCUCCAACGGAUUCCCCCCCCCCCUAAGUCGCCCCAACUUUCCCUAUAAAUUGCCCUCUACAUUCAGUGAUUAAGGAGAGAGGAAAACAAAAAAAAAAUUAGAUUUUGAGGUCAUACACGAUAAAUAAGUUUGCAAAAGAGUUUUAGAGUUUAGUUCUUAGACAAUAAUCACUCAUACACUUGAAAACUUUACAUCUAACCUUUUGAAUCUAAGUUACGAGAGGAUUGAUGCUUGGAUUUUCUUAGCUUGCCGUUCCUAUUCGAAGUUCGUGAUAAAAGAAUCGCUGCUCUCAAGCUCGUUGUCGUCCAGUUCUCUGCCCCAUAAAAGGUAAUACUCGUUUUUUAUUCACGCCUCUUUUGUGCCUAAUGUGAGGACGAUUUGCUUUUGAUCGUUGUGUAGUGUUAGAUGUUGGUAUCCUGGGAGUGUUAUGACUUACUGUUGGUUGCAAAACUUUGAUAUAAGCUUGUUUGUCGAUUCAACUGUUCUUUUGGUUGUUUUGCUCGAAGCUUUACUAAUUUUGUAUUGCGUUGAGUCGGUUUCAUUUUAUUUUCUUCUUGUUAUUCUAACUAGUAUAAGUCGUGUGAGUUGCCUUUAAGACUAAGAUCCAUAAUCCACCUGACGGUUGUUGCACCUCUAAAUCUCUUAUUUAAUAAUGUCGGUUACGUAUCCUUUGUUAUCGGGUAAUUCGAAUUAACUUGAAUCAAUAAACUGGUCAUUUCCAACCCGCUGGAGCAUUUUUUUUUCUUUCUUUCUUUUUUGUGCUAAACUCUCCUUAUUAAAAUGUCCUAUAGUGCUAGUUAGUUUCUCAGUUGUACGUCCUUAUCAUCUUUACCCGUAAAUCAUACUAAAAUUGAAUCUUGUUAUCCGUACUCAAGUUGGUUUUGAAUGUCCCUUUCUUCCACUUCUCUCAAAUUGCUUGGGAUUUAUUAUCUCAUUCGUGUAGCAUGUCCUGUUUAAAUCGAAUUUAUGUGUCUAUUUAGUCUAAGUUUUAGUCGAAAAUGCUUAAGCAAAAUGUAAUGGAUCAUUUUUUGUUUCUUAUUAGUAAUUUUCUUAUCUUGUUAGUCUUGUUGUUUAAACUCAUAUAGAUUACGAUAUCGGUAAUUAGGAGGUUGUGGGAUUCACUUCAACAAUUAUCAAAAUAGUUUAUGUUUGCUUCUGUUAUAUUUUGAUAACUACUGGUUUGUCUUCUCCUUUCCUUAUAAUUGAUCUAUUGUUUAUUUGUUUAAAGUUUAUUAAAGUUUUGACCAUAAAGUUGAAAAUUGACUAAAUAAAAAUGAUUUUACUAACGUUCCACUUGAUGCCUUCCGAGAUUAGUGUAAGUUUAGGAUUAUCUAAGUAUUGUGGCCGUAUUAAUUUUAUUUGCCUCUAGUUCUUUGUAGAAUCUGUUUUGAUUUAGUCAAAGUCGUGUUGUACCAUGGUUAGAAUGUUAACAUUAUAUUGAGUUUUGACCAUACUGUGAAUAGCCUAUUUGCUAGCUUUAAAUGCUAUGAUAUUCUUAUUUUAGUUGAAUCAAUUUGGUUUCUACAUUCCCCUUCUGCUAAUUCUUGUUCUUUUUUUUUUUUAUGUUUUCCUUGAAUGAAUCAUUGUGGACUCCUAUAUUCACUCCUUGCCUUCCGAGUUGGGUUGAAACCCAACAUUCCUCUUUUUUUUAUCGAGUCGGCAGUCAUCAUGUUCGAGUUUUGAAAGCGGAUGGACAAGGGUACAAGGCUGUAGUCGAAAUACAAGCCUCCAUAAGUCCUAAGAUGGACAGUAUACAUUCAUUAUACACUGUAUACAUUCAGUAUACAUCAAUAUACAGGUCGAAAAUGUGGGAAUACAGGGCUGAGGCAAAAUACAGGUGUUCGGAACCAAGAGAUACAUGAAAAGAGCCUAUACACACGCUGAUAUACAUUGAUAUACAUCGAGUGUAUACAAAAACGGGAAUUGGAUUAAGCCCAAUAGUAGCAGCGAAUUUGGCCCAAAAAGGGCCCAAAUUCAAUUCUCCUUUACGUUUAAAUUAUUUAAUUGUCUUUUGUUUGUUUUUCUUAUCAUUAACUCUAACUUUAGAAUUGUUAAUUAGCUUAAUUAAUUCCCCAAAAGAUGAGUUAUUUUCUUUGUGUCGGUUUAAUUUUAAUACGUUUUCAUGGUUUUGUGUUCAUUUAUUUUAUUAAUCAAAUAUAUUGGUCAAAAUUUUAUAUUUUCAAUUAACUUAAAAGAGAUGUUCUUUAAUGCUUUUCAUUUAAUCACAUUUUAUUCAUUUUAAAAUUGUUGUAAGUUAAAGUAUUUUUCUCAAAUAAACUUUAAAAAAUGUUGGAAAAUGAAUAAAAUAAAUUCUAAUUAAUCUAGUUUUAUUAAUAUUCCAAUCACUUGUAUUUCGACUCAAAUGUUUUAUUUUGAAUCCCUUUCUCUAAAAAAUAAAAAUGAAAUAAAAGCGUGUUAUUUAUUUAACUAUUUUUCUCAAAGUUAACCAAAUAUUGUAAAUUAUUAUUCUUAUGUGAAAUCACAUUUUUCCUAAAAAUAGUCAAAAAUAUUUUAGUCAAGUCACAGGUCAACCGCAUAUUAGCGGACACUUCGAAUGCUUAAACCCUUCUCGAAGUGUAAAUUGAACCCCGAACCCUCUUUGGUAUUUUCAAAUGAUUUUUUCUGUUUAAAUCUUUGAAAAUUAAGUUUCUUAAUUUCUUUAAAAAAUUAAGUGGCGACUCUUUUCUAAGUAUUUUCUCAAAUUGUUUUAUACUUAGAACAUUUCAAAAAGUGAUUUUUCUAAAGGUUAGUAAAAUUACGGCAUAACACUAGGAACCCAUAAAAUCCAUCUAUUCAUGAAAAUUCCAACCAAACUAAAUAAAUCAAGUGUAUAGAUAAGCUGCUAUUAUAAAUGAAUGGAUCAACACACAACUUCCACACCAUCACUUGUACUAUGUGAAUUUGGAAGAUACAUUAUACAACGAUGUCAAAAGUAAACAAAAUGGGUGUGAUCAAGUUAGAAAUAGAUUUGAGAGAAAUAACUCGACCCUUUCCAAAUAUAUACAAUCGACUACGAUCAGUUAAGCAUGGAGCAACUAAGAGCAAAUUUUAACAAUAAACUAAUUAAUAGGAUCAUUCAACAUGAAUAUAUACCAAUCAAAGAUAUUUUCUAGCAUGUAAUCGAUCAGAAACUUACUAGGACUAAGAUACUUCACUUAAUCAAACUAACUCUUCUAAUAAAAGGGCAUGUAGCAUCAACAACAAACCUCAACUAAACCAUGGAAUUCACAUCAACAAAUUAGGAAUUGUACCAUACUACCUUAAUUUUUUAUUUUAUUUUUAUUUUUAAAAGGGACGGCAGGGGGACAAGCCAUUGAAAUUGCUACGCAUAACAACAUGAAGUAUAACGAUUUAAAGGAUCAUGCCAAGACUCACUCGAAUGACUAGCUUCAAAAGGAUAAAACUUACCAAUAUUCGAAACAGGACAUAAAUAACAAACAGACAGACAUAUACUACAAGAUUACUCCAUUAUCGAUGAGAUUCUAACAUUUUGAAUCAGAAUAGAAGAGAACAUCAGCCAAAAUCACGAGCAAACAGAGAAGAACAGAACCAAAGAAAACUUCACAGAAGCAGGUUCAUUACACAACACUUAGAAUCGAAAUAGAACGUAAGUGAGGGGAAGGUGUUACCUUCUUUGGAGCAGCGAACUGGAUGCCAAUGAGUUGGAGACGAGCUAUUCCACCACUCGUACAGAACUCGCUAGGACGAGGAAGAUUUGAGAUAGCCAAGAAGGAAGAAUUUC
rnacentral:lncRNA from 1 species